rnacentral:rRNA from 1 species
AGCCUUUCAUGUUUGUAAGGUGAUGCCUGCCCACUGAAGGUUUUAAGGGCCGUGGUAUUCUGACCAUGCAAAGGUAGCAUAAUCAUUUGCCUUCUAAUUAGGGGCUAGAAUGAACGGCUUCACGAGAGAUUUUCUGUCUCGGUCGUUAAAAGCGAAGUUAAUGUUUAAGUGAAAAAGCUUAAAUGUUCUUGGAGGACGAUAAGACCCUAUAGAUCUUUACAUCUAAUUCCUUUUAGGGCGGCGGUCAUUCUGAGUGGNCAAAUGAUGUUUCGUUGGGGCGACGGUGGGAGUAGAAAAAACUCCUAUGAGUUAGAACGGAGAUGUCCGACUUUUGAUCCAGGCGAUGAAUUAAGAGUAAGUUACCUUAGGGAUAACAGCGUAAUUCUUUUUGAGAGACCAAAUCGACAAAAGAGUUUGCGACCUCGAUGUUGGUUCAGGGAACCUUACUAGCGCAGCAGCAAGUUGAGGCAGUCUGUUCGACUAUUAAUCCCCU